GGGGUGGAUCAGUGGCGAACGGGUGAGUAACACGUGAGCAAUCUGCCCCUGACUCUGGGAUAAGCGCUGGAAACGGCGUCUAAUACCGGAUACGAGUAGUGAUCGCAUGGUCGACUACUGGAAAGAUUUUUCGGUCUGGGAUGAGCUCGCGGCCUAUCAGCUUGUUGGUGAGGUAAUGGCUCACCAAGGCGUCGACGGGUAGCCGGCCUGAGAGGGUGACCGGCCACACUGGGACUGAGACACGGCCCAGACUCCUACGGGAGGCAGCAGUGGGGAAUAUUGCACAAUGGGCGGAAGCCUGAUGCAGCAACGCCGCGUGAGGGAUGACGGCCUUCGGGUUGUAAACCUCUUUUAGCAGGGAAGAAGCGGAAGUGACGGUACCUGCAGAAAAAGCGCCGGCUAACUACGUGCCAGCAGCCGCGGUAAUACGUAGGGCGCAAGCGUUAUCCGGAAUUAUUGGGCGUAAAGAGCUCGUAGGCGGUUUGUCGCGUCUGCUGUGAAAUCCCGAGGCUCAACCUCGGGUCUGCAGUGGGUACGGGCAGACUAGAGUGCGGUAGGGGAGAUUGGAAUUCCUGGUGUAGCGGUGGAAUGCGCAGAUAUCAGGAGGAACACCGAUGGCGAAGGCAGAUCUCUGGGCCGUAACUGACGCUGAGGAGCGAAAGGGUGGGGAGCAAACAGGCUUAGAUACCCUGGUAGUCCACCCCGUAAACGUUGGGAACUAGUUGUGGGGUCCAUUCCACGGAUUCCGUGACGCAGCUAACGCAUUAAGUU
rnacentral:rRNA from 1 species